rnacentral:lncRNA from 1 species
UUGGUCAGUUUCUCCGUGAGGACCAGAGCAGCUGGGGUAGCAUGCCCCUGUCAGCCCCGUCCUGAAGACGUCUGGUUUCUUCAGACCCACUAGAGCAAUUGCAGGCUACACUGCACACCCUCGUCUGGCCUCUCCUUCUAUUGAUUUCUGGUUCUGGGGAAGCCCAAGCCCUGAGGUGACAUUGGGACAGAAGAGACACUUUGUUCCAAGUUCUGACUCUGGGACAGCGACAAACUCCCACAGCCAAAACACUCUGCAGCUGUGUCCUUUGGAGCAAGGAACGAGAGCUUCUCUGCUGACCUCACCUCACCCCAGAGGCGAGUCCUCUGCGUUCACCCAGGUUGGACUCAGGCAGGCGACAGACAUGUGCGGCACCAGCCAGGUCCCCCCAGUGGCCCUGCCCACGGCAGCACGCCAUCCAUCACGCCACAGUCAAGACGCCAGCCAGCAGCCGGGCCGCCACGACAAGCAAAACGAGGCGGGCACCGCUGGCUCCUGUCAAGGCCUCCCGUGCACCAGCAGCCUUCAUGUUAAUGGGAGAAGUUGACUGAGACUAUUUGACGCAGUUGCUGGAAACUAAACAGAGCAGGAGAAUGAUAAGCAAAGCUCUUACUUAAUUAAAAGCACAUUUAUACAAGGUUCGGCCUGGCAGGAAAAUGACAAAGGCAGUUAAAAUUUUAAAAUCAAGCCAUUUUCUCUUGAGAGAUUUCUGCCAGACCCUGGUGGAUUCAGGAUGCUGGGUUUUCUCUUCCAACAGAGCCUGAACAUCUGAGCCGGGGUGAGCCAAGUGUGAGCUCCCUGGCUGUUUUCAAAGAAGUGGAACUUUUUCCCCAAAGUGAUUCCCCUUUCUGGAGCCAAUGGCAAGAGCGAGGCAUGCUAGGCAUGGGCCUGGAUGUGGCCCCCUCCAGAAACACAAGGAUGGAUGUGGAAAGUACGGGGUGACUCUCUGUAGGAACAAGGGACCUUUGAUAUGCCUCCAUGAAAAUGGCUUCUUUGAGAAGACGGUCUUAAGAGUGGGUCACGGCGGCAGACGAAGGCACCAGGAAAGCCUGGGUGGAGAAAAGUGAAACGUUACAAGGUGAGAGCCGUCCUCCUCUCUUUGAAAAAAGAACUGUACGAAUCCUUUGUAAUUCCAGAAGGAAGACCUGGGGCCGAUGGGGAAAUUACAGAAGGGAGGAUUUCCAAUUAACAGAAGAACUUUCCAAGGAGUAUUGCUCAAAUAGGAAACCACAGGCAGUUCAGCCUGCCUCGGGAUGUGCUGGAAGAGACCACAGCCUGUGUCUUGGUGGUACUGAGGUGGGGC